rnacentral:sRNA from 1 species
UCCGUAGGUGAACCUGCGGAAGGAUCACUAGUGAUUAAAUCGAGCGUGUCUUCAUUGACCGCUCACCCUUCUCACCAUCCACAUACACCUGUGCACUGUUUAGCCUGAGCCGGUUUUCCGGUCCAGGUUAUCAUUUCAUACAAACUCUAGUCUUAUGAAUGUAAACGUUUUAAUAACAUAAUAAAACUUUCAACAACGGAUCUCUUGGUUCUCGCAUCGAUGAAGAACGCAGCGAAAUGCGAUAAGUAAUGUGAAUUGCAGAAUUCAGUGAAUCAUCGAAUCUUUGAACGCACCUUGCGCUCCUUGGUAUUCCGAGGAGCAUGCCUGUUUGAGUGUCAUGAAACUCUCACCCUCUAGCUUUCUUAAUCGUGGCUAGCGGCGUGGACGUGAGCGCUGCUGCUUUGUUGCGGCUCGCUCGAAAUGCAUUAGCAGACCCUUUUCGUAAUCGGUUCCACUCAACGUGAUAAGUAUUUCGUUGAGGACAGUUGCAGCAAUGCGGCUGGCCGGGAUAAGAAAGGCAUAGUUGUCAGCUUCUAAUCGCCCUUGGGCAAUUUUUUAUGAUCUGGCCUCAAAUCAGGUAGGACUACCCGCUGAACUUAAGCAUAUCAAUAAGCGGAGGAAAAGAAACUAACAAGGAUUCCCCUAGUAACGGCGAGUGAAGCGGGAUGAGCUCAAAUUUAAAAUCUGGCGGUCUCAGAUCGUCCGAGUUGUAGUCUAGAGAAGCGUUUUCCGUGCUGGCCUGUGUACAAGUCCGUUGGAACACGGCGUCAUAGAGGGUGAGAAUCCCGUCCUUGACACAGAUCUCCAGUGCUUUGUGAUGCGCUCUCAAAGAGUCGAGUUGUUUGGGAAUGCAGCUCAAAAUGGGUGGUAAAUUCCAUCUAAAGCUAAAUAUUGGCGAGAAACCGAUAGCGAACAAGUACCGUGAGGGAAAGAUGAAAAGCACUUUGGAAAGAGAGUUAAACAGUACGUGAAAUUGUUGAAAGGGAAACGCUUGAAGU